AGCACCCUCGUAGAAGGCGAUCCCCGUCGGUUUCCCUCCAAGCCCAGUGGAGGGCUUGUCCCAUGAAAGACUGCCUUGCCCGGAAUACAGUGACCACCGCAUGCCUCGGGAAAACUGUAGAUAGGGACGUUAGGGUUGGAAAAAGUACUAGGAGACCCAAGUUCUAUCCCUGGUCAGGGAACCAGAUCCCACAUGCUGCAACUGAUCCUGUGUGCUCAACUAAGACCUAUGGCAGCCAAAUAAGCAACGGGGACAGCCCAUAAAUGCUGGCUCCUUCCUCAGCAUAAUGGUUCCUUGGACUCGCAUCUAAACAGACUCUUAACUUUUGGGAACUGAGUUAUAACUUCGUAUCUCCUCCCUCUGACCUGUUUCCUCUCAACAGCCAAGACCUCUCUGCUUCUUACUCUCAAGCUUCAAGUAGAUUUGGUGUAACUCCCAGCAGCGGUGAUGGUAAAUCCAGACCAGCUCGAGAGGCAGGACUGAGCCUGACUAAGGGCUUUGCUGGCCCCAGUCUGCCCAGUUGAGGGCUCACCACCACCACCAGGGGUCAAAAAAGAACAGUGGCUCAGCAGCUCCUGCCAUUGACGUCUAUGCGUGAGGGAGUCAACUGGCACUGUACUCCAUGUUGAACUGUAAAAGUAAAAAUGUUUUCCCAGUCAAGUUAGGGUUGGUUUCUCUCAUCCACACCCAUCCACAGGAAUGGGCUUACCUGGUGGUUCAGUGGUAAAGAACCUGCCUGCCAAUGCAGGAAACACAGGAGACUCCGGUUUGUUUCCUGGGUCCGGAAUAUCCCCUGGAGAAGGAAAU